UCCUCGUUAGUAUAGUGGUGAGUAUCCCCGCCUGUCACGCGGGAGACCGGGGUUCAAUUCCCACGGGGAG
rnacentral:tRNA from 1 species